rnacentral:lncRNA from 1 species
GUUUGACACUUGAAAUGGCAGAGAGUAUCACCUAUGCAGAUCUACAAUUUAUCAAAUUACCACUGAAACAAUCUCAAAAUGCAGGUAAUAUUUUAUUUAACAUGCUGUCAUGUUGGAUGAUAUAUACAAAUAUAUUUGAAAUAAUGAAUCGAAGGACAGAGAGCUAAUUGUGAGAGCUUACCUUAAGUGCUAUAGUAAGAAUCUAUGCAUUAUGAUGGAGAAUAGUUGUGUCCCAUUACCAAACUCUCAACUUUACUGGGAAUGUCUACCCGAAGGUAAACUUGUGAACAGCUGGCAGAGAAAGCACCAGCCUACUGGUGCAUGUCUGCUGGAGGAGUCCACAAAUGUGCAUUUUUUGGUGUAUGUAUUCAUUUUCCCGUAGUCCUUAUUUGAAGAAUCAUUUUCUAAUUAUGACCUCUUAUUCUGUUCCUCUGAGAUAGGAUUCUGUAAUUUGAGAGAUUUGGGGAUGUAAAUCCAGACUUGUCUAUACUUUGUUGUAGACAACGUAAUAAGUGUUUUUUAAAUAUAUUUUUUUAACAAAAAGAGGUUAAUAUAAUGAGGAAGAUUAAGUCUUUGUAGUGAUCCUUAUAGGUAUUAUGGGAAUAGUGGAAGAGUCCUGUCCUAGUGAUCCAGCAGAGGUGGUAGGAUAGAUUGGAAAUGUCCAUGUUUAAUGUUAUAGAAGGACCGUGUCCAAAAUAUGGAAAUCACAAUACAUGAGUCCUUUAUCCACUUCAUCUCAUGUGAUAUAUUUCCUUAUAUCAGGGACUGGGCCCUCUUCUGUAUCUGUGACUACUUCUUACUUAAACUCAAUCUCUUCCAUUGGAAGUCCUUUCUUUCCUGGUCUGAUCAGUAAACCUCACUUUUCAGUCUCCAUUGAGGUUAAUGAUGUGUCAACCCAGUCCCAUAACAUAACAUAACCCCUGUUCAAAGCUCAUCAACCUACCUUUCAUUAAUUGCAAAUAUGUAGGAAUAUCAUGAAUGUUAUUGCUAUCUUCAUUACCUGCUGCUCUUCUCACCCCUGACACGACCCUCCAUGCCUCUUGAUCCCCUUCUAAAACUAAUCGAUUGCUGUACCCCAAAUAAAUAUAUUCUCCAAUUACCAAGGGCAGGCCAUCUCAGGAACUCGGCUCUGUCAUGGAAUUUUACUAAUCCAAUGUUUGCACCUACAGGUCUCACAGUGUAUCUCGAGGUCUGUCUCAUUAUGUGAUGCCCUACCUCAUCCAGUAAGACUUUCCUCAAUACUUCAAGGUUAAUGCUCUGUAAAUACUUCAUGAACAGACUGAUAUUUCCCUGUUUUUGUUUCUUUGUUUCCUAAGAUGAAAACUCUGAGAAAUGGGAAGACAUGUAUGAGAAUGUGAACUGUCCGAAACUAGAGAAACAAGUUGUGGACUUCCCAGCCUCUCCCAACGGAAGUUCACGCCAGCUCAGGACAGGUGAGCUAUGUAUUUAGCUAAGGAUUUACAUAACUUGUAGAUAUGACUUUUACUAUAGAACCAACACGUUACAGGGAGCACCCAUGGCUUCCCUUAGUUAGAUGUAAACAUAGCUUGACCUUUUAGAAGAUCCAAGAUGUCACUUACUGUCUGUAUUACUGGAUCACAGCUACAAAGAUCUUCAUCUAUUUCUGCUAUAUUAAACAGAUGACUGUAAUGACUCUCUUGGCUGUCUCAUAGUUACAUAGCUGAAAAGAGACUUGCGUCCAUCAAGUUCAGCCUUCCUCACAUUUGUUUUUUGCCGUUGAUCCAAAAGAAGGCGAAAAACCCAGUUUGAAGCACUUCUAAUUUUGCAACAAGCUAAGGAAAAAAAUUCCUUCUUGAAUGGCAGUCAGAUUUAUAAUUGGAUCAAGCAGUUAUUACACAACAUUGAAAGAUUAUAUCCUUGAAUAUUCUGUUUUUGCAAGUAUGCAUCUAGUAGCUGUUUGAACAUCUGUAUGGACUCUGAUAAAACCAGUUCUUCAGGCAGAGAAUUCCACAUUCUGAUUGUUCUUACAGUAAAAAAAAACCUUUCCUUUGCCUUAGACAAAAUCUUCAUUCUUCCAGUCUAAACACAUGACCUCGUGUCCUAUGUAAAGUGCAGUUUGUGAAUAGAUUUCCACACAAUGGUUUGUAUUGGCCCCGAAUAUAUUUGUAUAAUUUUAUCAUAUCCCCUUUUCUAAACUAAAUAGGUUUAAAUUUGUUAACCUUUCUUCAUAGCUGAUAUGUUCCAUUCCUUUUAUUAAUUUUGUAGCCCGCCUCUGCACUUUUUCUAGUGCCAUAAUAUCCUUCUUUAGAACAGGUGCCCAAAAUUGCACAGCAUAUUCAAUAUGUGGUCUUACCAGUGAUUUAUAAAGAGGCAAAAUGAUAUUCUCGUCCCGAGAAUGAAUGCUCUUUUUCAUGCAUGACAAUACCUUACUGGCCUUGGCCACUGCUGAUUGACAUUGCACAUUGUUACAAAGUUUGUUGUCUAUGACAAUUCCCAACAAUUCUUCUGUAUAUUAUAAGAAUAUAAUCUAUACAUUGUCCUGAAUAAUAAAUCACAUUUUUAAAUACAUUUCUAUUAAAUAAAGCAUUUUACUUACCUUUGUUUCACCACAUAUCAGCAUUCCACCCAUGGAUGAGAUCAGACUGCACGUGUGCAAUAAUUGUUGCACUAUGCUAAUCAGCAUCUCCUCAUAGAGGUCCACUAUCUCGAUGCAUCCCUCUAGUGACUGACUGUCUGUUGUCUGAGAGACUGCCUGAGUGCCUGAGUGAGUGAGUGACUAACUGUCUGAGAGACUAACUGUCAGAAACUCACUGACUGCGUGACUGUUGGAGACACUGACUGACUGAGUCACUGUCUGAGAGACUGACUGACUGUCUGAGAGGCUGACUAACUGUCUGAGUGACUGAUGACUGACUGUCUGAUUAAGGGGGUAUCAUAUAACUAAAUCAGCAAGAGUAACAAAUGUUAGAAAUAUAGGUUUUCUAAUUAUAACUGUUGUAGUGGAUAAUGGCCUUGAUUUAAAAGGACACUAUAGUCACCAAAACAACUUUAGCUUAAUAAAGCAGUUUUGGUGUACAGGUAAUAUCCCUGCUGUCUUAUUGCCCAAUGCUCUGCUAUUUAGGAGUUAAAUCACUGUGUUUAUACAGCCCUAGUCACACCUCUCUGCAUAUGACUUACACAGCCUUCCUAAACGCUUCAUGAAAAUGAAUCUAGACAUAGCACAUUCUCUUUAAUCUAGAGUUUCUUAUCAUUUGCACUGUUGAUAGUUUGCUAGACCAUACAGGAGCCUUUGUCUGUGAUUAAAGUUCAAUUUACAGAGCAGGAGGUAAAAAUGUCUAAGGUAUGUUAACAUCUGAUUAAAGAUUAAACCAUUUUUUCCAUGCAGGCUGUGUGAGUCAUAGCCAGGGGAGAUGUGGCAGGGGCUGCAUAAACAGAAACAAAGUGAUUUAACUCCUAAAUGGCAGAGAAUUGAGUAAUGAGAGGUCAGAGGCAUGAAAACUGCUUCAUUAAGAUAAAGGGGGUUUGAUGCCUAUAAUGUCCCUUUAAUAUUUUUGGAAAAAGCUUUUUGUAAAUGAUUUAAUAGUUUGAAAAUGUUUGAAUAUUUUAUUAGUGUGAUAUUAUUUAUAUAUUUUGUAUAUUUUGUCAUACUUUAAUAUUUUGAAAACAUUAUAAAAGUUUAUUCCAAAAAAAUAUUAAAUUGAAGCCAAUGUUAGAGGCAAUAUAAAAUUGGAACUGGAUAGUGAGAAGACUAACUAAUUUGUGAAAAUGUGCAGGCAAGUCACUAUAUAAGUAAAACACUCCCUGUGUCCCUUUAAACACAGUGCACACAAAACUGUAAGAUAACUUAGUUAAGAUACAAACAGAGGGCGCCACUUAUCACAAGAAAAGAGAAAUAAUUACCCUCGGUAGAUGGGCAUAAAAGUUCAUAUAAGGGAAGAAAAAAGAGAGAACAUCAUAGGGCAAAACUUUAAUAACAAAACGUUAAAAAUAAAUAAAAGGUAUUUUAUUUUUUACUUUUAUUCCAGAGGUUUGGUCCUUAAGGGGUUAAUAGCAAAAUGUAAUAAAAUAAAAUCAAAGGUAACACUCACAAACAAUGUGGCACAGGUGAAUAAAUCUAAAUGUGCUUAAAGUCUUGAUGCCUCAAAAUGGGCUGAAUCUCCAGUUGUUGCAGCCAGAGGUAUAGGUCUGGAUACGAUCACCAGUACAGGGAUGGACCAAGAUGUUCACCGUCAAGGACUGGAUACAAUAUUCUGGAUCAAUGUUAUUGGGCUCAACGCCUUAAGUCUCUUGACUUGUUCAGGAGUUUGCUUCUGUCUUCUCACUUCAGCUUUUAAAUAGCCGGCAUCUUGGUCCAUCCCUGUAUUGGUGAUCGUAUCCAGACCUUUACCUCUGGCUGCUACAACUGGAGAUUCAGCCCAUUUUAAGGCAUCAAGACUUUAAGCACAUUUAGAUUUAUUCACCUGUGCCACACUGUUUGUGAGUGUUACCUUUUAUUUUUAUUUUUUUACAUUUUGCUAUUAACCCCUUAAGGACCAAACUUCUGGAAUAAAAGUAAAAAGUAAAAUACCUUUUAUUUAUUUUUUUAACGUUUUGUUAUUAAAGUUUUGCCCUAUGAUGUUCUCUCUUUUUUUUCUUCCCUUAUAUGAACUUUUAUGCCCAUCUACUGAGGGUAAUUAUUUCCACUCUUUUAUUGUGAUAAGUGGCGCCCUAUGUUUGUAUCUUAACUAAGUUAUUUUACAGUUUUGUGUGCACAAUGUUAGAGGCAACCUUAAAAGUAUCAUGUGUAAAAUAAUAACCAUCUUUUUUUCACAUAAAUCAUUUUAAUUCUCUCAUUUCCCUACCUUUUUUUUCUUUAGGCAUUCAUAAACGUGUAUUUCACCUGACACUUGUAUUUUUCUUUAUUUUCUUCACAACCACAAUUGGACUUAUGGUAAAAUGUAAGUAAUAUAUAUAUAUUUUUUUAAAAUACAACCUAACCCCUAAAAUCUACUCUUAAAAAAUACCCAUAAAUCCCUGUUCACCGUUUCCUUUUCUCUAGUGUCAGUCUUCAUCAAGCAGAGCAAAGCAGAAAACCCACUGGUUCAUUAUUGUGUAGCUUAGAUGUUGAGGCCCUGUACAGCUCUAUACCAUACCACCUGAGAUUGGAACAUGUACAAGAGGUGUACAAUCGGUUUAUCAUUGACCUAUUAAGAUUUGUGCUACUGCACAAUUAUUUCCUAUUUGAUGGGGUCAAGGGGAAUGGGAUGGGGACAUCUUGUACGCCAACCUUCACCUGGUCCAAGGUGGUAUUUUUGGAUCUGCACAAUAAAUACACAAGCCUCAUCCUUGUUUAGAAAAGGUAUAUAGAUGACAUACUCAUCAUCUGAACAGGGUCUGAUACUCACCUUUGUCGAUUUGCUGAUUGCAAAUAACCUAAAUUUGAGGUUUACUGCCAAUAUAGGUCGCCACUCUCUGAACUUUUUGGACGUUACACGAACCCUUUAUGAUGUUGGUAAGAUCAAAAACCUAUCUGUAUAGGAAAAAGUACGGCCACCAAUUGCCUGUUAAACUGAUAAAGUAAUACACCAGCUCAACUUAAAAGAGGCAUUCCAAGAGUGCAAUACUUACUCCUUAGGAGAAGCUUUUCUGAUAUCGAGGAUUUUAAGUUAAUAGCUAGAGAGCUUCGCACUAUGUUUAGGGCAAAGAGAUAUACCAAUGUCUUAAAAAGAGCCUAUUAUAAGGCUCUUCAUCAUUGACCUUCAUCAUACCCAAUGGACAGACAUGAUCUACUCAAGGAUAACAAAAACUCCCUUAAUUCCAACAAAGGUCAAGAACUCAAGCAUUAGAGAUGCAUAGAGACAUUUGACUCAGGAUGGAAACAGGUUAAAAACGUUCUAGAUAGGUUCUGGCCCUUACUCAAACAAGACAACCAUUUAAAUAGAUGCAAUCUCUCCACAUGCCUCUAUUACAGCAUGGAGAGGAAAGAAUCUGAGAAAUCUUCCAGUGCAUAGCCACUUUAAGAGUAAGCCAGUACUAAUUCACUGGCUAUCUAAUAAGUCGGUAGGCAGAUCUUCACCAACAGUGAUAAUACAGAACAGUUUCAGGACAAAUCUUUUUUUAGUUUUAAUAUUAAGGGACUGAUUUACCUACUAACCUGCCAAUGUGAUUUACAUUAUGUGGGAAAGACCUUUGGAACAUGUUAAUUAUGCAAAAUCGAUGGGAAAUAUUGAAAGACCAAUUUCAAGACAUCUAAGCUAACAUCAAGGGGAUCCAAGAAAACAUAUGUUCUCUGGAAUCGAAUUGGUAACCUUGUGCCAGGACCUUACCUGAUGUGGAGUCCGACAUGCAGCGUUAUACGCUCACCCUUGCAAAUAAACACAGACCAAGUUGGCCAGGUAAGAAGCCACCUAAGCUGUGAGUCUGUGCAUGGGGGGUGUGCAGAAAGAAUAGCUCCAAGUCGCAGUACAGGAAAGAACAAGAAGAAGAGUAGUCGUGGAAAACCAAAGUCAGGGGAAGCCAGAGGUUUAGAAUAAACAAAGAAAAAGCCAAGGUCGGAAGCCGUCCGGGGAGAACACUGGAUCAAGAUACACAAUAACAGGAACCAGAGUCAAUGAACUGACCCUGCCCUUAGCGAGAAGCAGAGUUUUAUACCUGGCUGAUUGACUAUGUGCUUCAGGUGGGCUUGGAUAGACAGGAGCAGCCACAGGUAAAGUCCAGCCCCCCCAGUGCUGGACAGGGCCAGAUUAACAUAGGGGCUGAUGGAGCUGCAGCUCCAGGCCCAGGCCCAGGCCCAGGCCCAGGCACAUGGAAUAGGCACAUUUUAAAAAUAAUUUAUUUAUUUAUUUUUUUAAAAUUUAAUUUUUUUUACACACUACUCAUAGGUUUGCCACCUGACUGGUAUUUUACUGGCACAGCCGGUAUUUGAGGCUGCCUGGCCUUGAUGGUAUUGCAGUAAUACAGGCAAUACAAAUGCAAAUAUUUUUCUCAGUAUAAAUGGAGAUUACUCUGCAAUAUCAGCACUGGCCAGUAGGGGUCACUGUGUGUCGAGACAGGCAGGCAUAGGAAGUUACAGCAUCUCCCUGCCUCUCUACUUACUGAUCUGCAGGGGAGCAGCUAUACAGUACAGAGAGUCCAGACAGCAGCUCCCAGCCUGCAGACAACCUACAGCUCAGGGAAGUGAGGGAUGAGGGAAAGGCAGCAGGGAGACAUGGGGACACUGAGAGAUGUGGGGACACUGUGAGACAUGGGGACUCUGAGACAUAUGGAGACACUGUGAGAAAUAGGUAAACACAUUGGGACACGGUCAGUGUCCCCACGUCUCCCAGUCUCCCAGUGUCCCCUAGUCUCCAAGUGUCUGUGUCCCCAUGUCUCCCAGUGUCCCCAUGUCUCUUAGUGUCCCUGAAUGUGUGUCCCCAUGCCUCCCAGCCAGUGUCCCUAAUGUCUCAGUGUCCCCUAGACUUCUAGUGUCUGUGACCCCAUUUCUCCCAGUGUCCCGAAAUGUCUCAGUGUCCCCAUGUCUCCCAGUGUCUCCAUGUCGAUAGCCACAAGUGCCCCCAUGCCUCACUGUGUCCCCAAGUGUCUCACCAUGCAUCCUAGUGACACAGGACCCACUAAGACAUGGGGACACUGGGAGAAAUGUGGACACAGACACUGGGAGACUAGGGGACUGGGCGACAUGGGGACACUGACACUGUGAUACAGAGGGACACUGAUGCCAGGCUGGCCUUCCAAUUCUUUGGACAGACAUGCCCCCUUUCUGGGCAUGUUCGCCCCUUUUGGCAGGUUACGUGAUUUGCGUCAGUGGCACACCCUUUUACCCCAGCCAUUGACUUCCUGCUUCACUGGACACUGCUGUUAGGGGGUAUGGAUUUACUUGAAAGAUGAAAGCAUAAAUUAGAGAGAGAUAAGCAUAGAGUAUGUGUUUUCUUAUAGCUGUGUCCUUUGAGUUUCCCUCCAACACCAUCUCCAUCAGAUACAUGACGCUUGGGAGGUAUGGCUGUUUGUGUUUUUGGUCGAUAAGAUUCUGUAAUUAGACCCCAUCAUAAUUGUCAGCACCAGGCCCACUGGGCUCUUAAUCUGGCCCUGGUGCUGUAUACAAGACAGGGAUAAACUUCAGGUUGAAACAAGAACUGUAGUGUGGCUCAGAAGCAUAACAGUAGACCCACGACACAGAAGGAUCCAUGUUCAUAUCACCUGUUGGACACUUCUGGGAUGUCCACGUCUGGGUUUUUAUGGUGAGAACUGUGACACCUUGAAUCAAAGAAAAGGGAUCCUGGAUCAACAUUUUUUGAGGAGGGAGUAUACCCUAAAAUCCAAGUUCUCUCACUUCUCAUGAACCCCCCCCCCCCCCUAUACAUCUACAUUUUUUCAUUACUGUACAGUUUUCUAGGGAGGCCAUUUAAAAAUUCCUAAGGGGUGUACUAUACCCCAUUAACAAUUGUCAACUGUAAAAUUUGAGAAUUUUUUAUAUUACUAACAGUUCUUUUUUUUUCUUUUUGGAAAAAAAACCAUUUAACUUCAUAAUGUAAAUCUCUUACUGGGUUAUAUGUAUCUAUAUUGGAUAGGGGCUCAAUAGGAUUAUCAGGGUCAGCAAGAUAGGUAUGAGCAGUGUGUUUAUAUCACAUCAGUAUGUUAAGAGACCCUGAUUUGCAGAUUCUGAUGGAAGAAGGUUUCUAGGCUCUUAUAUGAGCUGCUUGUCAAUGUCCCUCUAGGUCAGUAGUUAACAACCUUUUUUUCACUUGAGUACCCAUUGGCAGCCUAUUUCUAUAAAUCGUACACCUCAUACUAGCGAAAUAUUUGUAAUUAUUAUACUUACUAAUAUUUCAAAUGUAUAUUUCUCACGGCCCGAUCUCCCUUUCUUCUCUGACCUAUUCUCUCCCUGCUCUUCCUCUGUUCCAUGCCCCCCCCCCCACUUCUCCUCUGCCCCAAGUAAGUAUAUGCAUGUGUAAUUGUAAUAUAUAUAUAUAUAUAUAUAAAUAUUACAUACUUAUACUUACAGACACACAAAGACACAGAUACAAACAAUGACACAUAUGCAGAUGCACAGGCACACAGAUACAAACACUGACACACAUACAGAUACAUGCACUGACACACUGUCAGAUGUGCAGAUACAAAGACUGACACAUGCAGAUUCACAGAUACACACAAUGACACACACACACACACACAUACACACAGAGAUACAGACAUACAGUUCCACACUUACCGUAUUUUCCCGCUCCAUAAGACGCACUUUUUUCCCCCUCAAAAGUGAGGGGAAAUGUCUGUGCGUCUUAUGGAGCGAAUGUGAAGCUUUACUUACCUGUCUUGUAGCGUGGGCCGGCAGCACAGCGCGCUAUGCGGUACAGGAACUUCAAUUUCAGGUUCUGGUUUCCGGCGGGGCUGAAAGGAAGUGCACACUCAGUGUGCACACUUCCUUUCAGUCCCGCCGGAAACCGGAACCUGAAAUUGAAGUUCCUGUACCGCAGAGCGCCCUGUGAAGCCGGCCCACGCUACAAGACAGGUAAGUAAUUAUGGGAAAAGGGGAGGGGGGGGACACUAUGGGACAAGGGGAGGGGACACACACUAUGGAACAAGGGGAAGGGGGACACACACUAUGGAACAAGGGGAAGGGGGACACACACUAUGGAACAAGGGGAAGGGGGACACACACUAUGGAACAAGGGGAAGGGGGACACACUAUGGGACAAGGGGAAGGGGGACACACUAUGGGACAAGGGGAGGGGGGGACACUAUGGGAGGGAAAGUGCACUAUGGGACAGGGGGAGGAACACUAUGGGAUGAGAAGACAAUUGGACAAGGGGAGGAGGGGUUAAAAAAAACACUACGGGACAGGGGAGGAGGGGUUAACAAUCACUAUGGGACAGAGGAAAGGGGGGUUAAAAUAACUAUGGGACAGGGGAGGGGGGUUAAAGAUCAUUAUGGGACAGGAGAGGGGAGUGGGUGGUAAGGAACAAAAAAUUCCUUAAAAAAAAAAAAUAUUCUGAACAAACUGUCCCAUAGUAAGAAACACUAUGGAACAGUUCAGAAUAUUUUUUUUUCUGGGUUUCCUCCUCUAAAAACUAGGUGCGUCUUAUGGUGAGGUGCGUCUUAUGGAGCGAAAAAUACGGUAUUUAUUGGAGUAUAGAACACCUUAAAAGUGGGCCUUAAUCAUGUUUAAGUCCGUCUAGGGCUGAAAAGUUGCACUUUUAUGUGGUGUUCUACCCUUCAAUAAAUACACCUUCAGUACCCGGAGUGUUGCCUGUAUAUUCUAUUACCUUGUAUUGAUGGACUGAUUAGCAGUGUCUGUCUAAUGCAGAACACCUCUGAGGCUGUGGGCCAGAGUGAAAAGCGGAACCUGAGUGCAGUGGUACACACUAACACACAAACAUACUCACAGAUGCACACACUGACACUCACAGAUACACACUGGCGCACACACACAAUUUGCAGCUUCCAUAAUGUUAACCACCCACCCUGCUUCAAUACCUUUUGGUUGCAGGGAGGUGACUUUCUGGGGCUGGCUGAUCCUGGUGGGAGUCUGAAGCUGCAGAGCUCUCUCUUUCUCCUCCCUCCUCCUUCUCUCCCAGCUGCCUGCAUCCUGUGUCUUCUCUCUCCGCUGCCUGCAUCUUCUCAGCCCACGCGGUCUGUAUGCUGGGAGGAAGUAAUAGUCACUUCCUCCCAGCACUCCCUUCAACUUUAAAGGGGCCCAGUCUACCAAAGGGCUGCAGCACACGACCGCAUCCCUAAUGAGGUAGCUCCACAGAUGGCAGCUGCACUAUUUUCUCAUGGGGGGUGGGGGGAAAUUGCCCUUUUGCGCCCCCCCGGAUCCGCCACUGCUCCAGAGUCUUGCAACUGUGCAUAAACUUUCUAUUCGGCCACCACUAACCAAUGCUCACAAGCAGAAAUGGCUGCAUUGGGCAGAAAAACACAUGAAGACUAAUUUUCAAACAGUCCUGUUCACUGAUGAGUGGUGUGCAACCCUGGAUGGUCCAGAUGGAUGGUGUAGUGGAUGGUUGGUGGACAGCCACCCUGUUCCAAAAAGGCUGCGACGUCAGCAAGGCGGUAGUGGAGUCAUGUUUUGGGCCAGAAUCAAGGGAAGAGAGCUGGUCGGCCCCUUUAUGGUCCCCGAAGGUGUAAAGAUGGCCUCUGCAAAGUUUGUGGAGUUUCUGACUGACCACUUUCUUCCCUGAUACAGAAGGAAGAACUAUGCUCUCCAUAAUAAAAUCAUCUUCAUGCAUGACAAUGCAUCAUCUCAUGCUGCAAAGAAUACCUCUGCAUCAAUGGCUGCUAUGGGGAUAAAAGGAGAGAAAGUCAUGGUGUGGCCUCCAUACUCCCCUGACCUCAAUCCUAUUAAGAACCUUUGGAUCAUCCUCAAGCAAAAGAUCUAUGAGGGUGGGAGGCAGUUUAGACCCAAACAGCAGCUCUGGGAGGCUAUUCUGACAUCUUGCAAACAAAUUCAAGCAGAAACUGUCCAAAAACUCACAAGUUCAAUGGAUGUAAGACUUGUGAAGCUGCUAUCAAAUAAGGAGUCCUAUGUUAAAAUGUAACGUGACCUGUUAAAAUUUUAAAAAGUUAAAAUGUUGUUAUAAGUUUGAUUGAAAUAGCUUUUGAUUUCAGUAAAUAUGCUGCAAACACAACAAAUGACAAUUUUCAGUUCUUUACAACCUAUAAAGUGUUUUAAAACUUACUGUGCGUAAUAAUUUGGAACAGUGCAUUGUAAGCUUAUGCUUAAAAAAAUAAAUAAAAAUACUGUUAUCAUUAGGAGGUUUGUUCAAUAAAAUUUGAAUUGUACUCUUAAUAGUUGACAACAUGAGAAUUCUGCUGACUGUUAUUUACAUCAAUUAUUUAGGUAAAUGAGAAAAAUAUAAUUUGCAUAAUAAUUUGUAACGGGGUGUAUUAGUCUGAUGCAACUAAAGUACAAAAUAAGAACUUGACAUUGUGUGUGUGUGUGUGUGUGUGUUUUUUUUUUUUGUCAAUCUUUGUUUUUGUUGAGGUGUAUGAUGGCUCAGUACAGAAAGUAAAACAAGGGGUUAAUGCAUGAAAAAUAUACGUAAUGCAUAACUGGUUUAUACAAUGGUUGCAUGUACUCCCAAGAAUAACGGCCUCUCUUUUUAUGAAAAUUUUAACAGUAGUAUUAUACAGGCUAAACAAGCUAAGCAGGCUAGACAAUAAAGGUUUACUUAACUAAGUCUGAUACACAGCUGAAUGUGACGUCGCUGGUAUAGCUAGGCAUGGAAGUAUCAGCGGCAAGCUAACAGGCUAAUUUACCAACUCUAAUCUUGACCUUCAGCUUAUGUGAAGCAAUGUACUUGCAACUAGUUUAGCUUUCGAAAAGGAUUAACCCAUUGCAGCAAUCGACAUGAGGAGGCUUGAGGGCUAUGAGUCUAUCUGAUAACACAAAUAUAUUUAGCUGAAAGAUAAGCUUCAGAGGGACAUGAGAAAAAGCUUCCGAAAGUAAAAUAUCGCCGUUUAAAAUGGGCUAAAGAGUAUAUGUAAAUGCUUGUUCCUAUAAAAGGAGCACGAGUUAAGUCACAUAGACAGAAGAUAUUAUAGACAUGGUGAUUACAUAGACAAAUUAUAUCAUGCUUGCUACUUAGUCAUGCACUACACUUUUCUUCAUCUGGUAAGCUAACAUGCAUGUAACUAAUAUGCCUCUGACAUAGUACUAGUUAAAGCUAAACAAUUAUGCAGUAAAUGUUGAGUAGAGGAGGCUUUGCUAAUCUAAAGUGAGAUCAUUGUUUACUUGGAGCAGUCCAGGGCAUUGAGUGCUGUGAGCGUUCAUGCAUUUAUUCAAACCACCCCACAUGGAGGAAUCAUGCUGCAGUCUGCGGGGACCAGUCCACUUGGUUGUUGGGGGGGCUGCCUCUUUGGUCCGUCUCUCUAUUGGUGGUUGGGCCUGUUCCUCUAGGGUGUAUGCUUUGACCCGCUGGGUGCUUGUCCCUCUGUGCCGUGGUUCCCCCAGUGCACCUCCCAGUUCCAUGUCGAUUGAGUGUCCUGUGUCUUCGGCCCCAGGCUUUAGCGGGGGCCCUUGCCACAAGUCCAUUGACCCCAUCCUCAGGGNNNNNNNNNNNNNNNNNNNNNNNNNNNNNNNNNNNNNNNNNNNNNNNNNNNNNNNNNNNNNNNNNNNNNNNNNNNNNNNNNNNNNNNNNNNNNNNNNNNNUGGGACAAGGAGAGGGGGACACACUAUGGAACAAGGGGAGGGGGACACUAUGGGACAAGGAGAGGGGGGACACUAUGGGACAAGGAGAGGGGGGAUACUAUGGGACAAGAAGAGAGGGGACACUAUGGAACAAGGGGAGGGGGGACACUAUGGAACAAGGGGAGGGGGGACUCUAUGUGGGACAAGGGGAGGGGGGACACUGUGGGACAGGGAGAGGGUUGGACACUAUGGAACAAGGAGAGGGUGGGACACUAUGGAACAAGGGGAGGGGGAACACUAUGGAACAAGGGGAGGGAGGGACACGAUGGAACAAGGAGAGGGUGGGACACUAUGGAACAAGGGGAGGGGGAACACUAUGGAACAAGGGGAGGGGGGACACGAUGGAACAAGGAUAUUGUGGGGAUUAAGGACAUUAGGGAUAUUCAUUAUUCUGUUUUUAUUCCCAGGUAUCAAUGUUUCCAGAGAAUUACACAGCUUGUCUUUAGAAUAUGAGAUGAUGAACACCAGUCUGUCUCAAACAUUACAGAGCCAAGAUAAUAGUCUGGAAAACAAUAAACAAAGCCUAGCACAGUCCCAGCAUCGGGUAGAGCAACUGGGACAAGACCUAACGGACACCAAUCACAGCCUGCAGAGAUGCCAUGAGGACACAGAGCAGUAUAAAAGGGAGCUGCAGAGUAUCACCAUCUUGCAGAAUAAAACAUCACAAGAUAUAAGAAAAACACAGCAAACAUUGGAAAACACCAUCUCACAACUAAACAAAAUUGAGAAAG